rnacentral:rRNA from 1 species
AGCUUGCUCUUCUUGGAUGAGUUGCGAACGGGUGAGUAACGCGUAGGUAACCUGCCUUGUAGCGGGGGAUAACUAUUGGAAACGAUAGCUAAUACCGCAUAACAAUGGAUGACACAUGUCAUUUAUUUGAAAGGGGCAAUUGCUCCACUACAAGAUGGACCUGCGUUGUAUUAGCUAGUAGGUGAGGUAACGGCUCACCUAGGCGACGAUACAUAGCCGACCUGAGAGGGUGAUCGGCCACACUGGGACUGAGACACGGCCCAGACUCCUACGGGAGGCAGCAGUAGGGAAUCUUCGGCAAUGGGGGCAACCCUGACCGAGCAACGCCGCGUGAGUGAAGAAGGUUUUCGGAUCGUAAAGCUCUGUUGUAAGUCAAGAACGAGUGUGAGAGUGGAAAGUUCACACUGUGACGGUAGCUUACCAGAAAGGGACGGCUAACUACGUGCCAGCAGCCGCGGUAAUACGUAGGUCCCGAGCGUUGUCCGGAUUUAUUGGGCGUAAAGCGAGCGCAGGCGGUUUGAUAAGUCUGAAGUUAAAGGCUGUGGCUCAACCAUAGUUCGCUUUGGAAACUGUCAAACUUGAGUGCAGAAGGGGAGAGUGGAAUUCCAUGUGUAGCGGUGAAAUGCGUAGAUAUAUGGAGGAACACCGGUGGCGAAAGCGGCUCUCUGGUCUGUAACUGACACUGAGGCUCGAAAGCGUGGGGAGCGAACAGG